UCACCAAUCACAGUGUAUUCAUGUUAGGGUUAGGGGUUAGAGUUAGAAGGUGAGGGUGAGGGUUAGGGGUAGAGGGUGAGGGGUGAGGGUUAGGGGUAGAGUUAGAAGGUGAGGGUUAGGGGUAGAGGUUAGGGGUAGAGUUAGAAGGUGAGGGUGAGGGUUAGGGGUAGAGGGUGAGGGUUAGGGGUAGAGGGUGAGGGUGAGGGUGAGGGGUAGAGGGUGAGGGUGAGGGUGAGGGUUAGGGGGUGAGGGUGAGGGUUAAGCAGAUGGAUUUAGAGACUGAAUGAGGACAAGGCAGUUGGAGAUGAAAGCACCAGCAGGUGUCAUUA